UACGUAGGGUGCGAGCGUUGUCCGGAAUUAUUGGGCGUAAAGAGCUCGUAGGCGGCUUGUCGCGUCGGAUGUGAAAGCCCGGGGCUUAACUCCGGGUCUGCAUUCGAUACGGGCAGGCUAGAGUUCGGUAGGGGAGAUCGGAAUUCCUGGUGUAGCGGUGAAAUGCGCAGAUAUCAGGAGGAACACCGGUGGCGAAGGCGGUGAUCUGGGCCGACACUGACGCUGUAGAGCGAAAGCGUGGGGAGCGAACAGG
rnacentral:rRNA from 1 species